UAAUAACUCAGUCGGUAGAGCAUGAGAUUCUUGAUUUCAGGAUUAUGGGUUUGAGGCCCACGUUGGGCAAAA